rnacentral:sRNA from 1 species
CUUUGCAGACUCAAGAAGGGCCCAGUGCCUAAGUCUUCUCUGCAUUCACAUCAAUGAAUCGCAUUCUUUAAUUGUUUAUGAAGGGGCACAGGGGGCCAUGAAAAUAACAAGACCUAAGGUUUGACUGACUCCGGGUAUCUGGCUGGAGGAGCUGAACGGACCAGGAGACAGGCUUCUUGUGGGGGUGGGCAUCUUGGAUAAAUUGAACAGAAGAGGCUCCAUGUCUUACCUGGCAGCAGUCGAGGAAGAGGUGGAAGAAAGUUCCGUGAAGAGCGAAAAUGGAGAUGAGAAGGCAGAGCCAUCUCCUCAGUCUUGGUCUUCACUUUGGAAGCAUGACAAGGACAUGGAGGAAGACAGAGCUUCCUCAUCCUCUGGAACAAUUGUUCAGG